AUUAAUUGUCUAAGCCCCAAGCUCCAAUUGGUCCAGAACUCAGUGGCCCGCACCAUCUCCAGAACCCCUUCCUUCAGUCAUAUCACCGCGGUUCUCCACCAGCUGCACUGAACCUCCAGAAUCAGAUUCAAACUCCUCCUGUUCACCUUUAAGGCCCUUCCAUAACCUGGCUCUUCCUUAUCUCUCCCACCUCCUCCAUAUUAAAACCCCGUCUCGUUCUCUUCGGUCCUCCUCGUCUGUUCAGCUCUCUGUCCCUCCGGCCCGCCUCGUCGCCAUGGGAAGUCGAGCCUUCAGCUGCUCGGCUCCCAAACUUUGGAAUUUCCUCCCUCCUGACCUCCGGAACAUAGACAUUUUUACAAACUUUUAGAUCUAAACUCAAAACCCACCUGUUUAUUUCUGCCUUCCCAUCCAGAUUCACUUUUGAUUUUUGUCUUUUUAUAUUUAUUGUGCUUUUACUGCAGUGACUUUAUUUUAACCUUUGUAAAGUGUCCUUGGGUUUUGUGAAAGGCGCUUUAAAGAAAUGGAUUAUUAUUAUUAUUAUUACCUGUAUGGCACUUUUCUACCUUCCUCAAAGGCCCAAAGCGCUUUACAGUAACAGUCCCUUUCACACAUUGGUGGCAGCUCAGCUGGCGCCAACCUUCCACCAGAGGCAAAGGUGUGGUUCAGCGCCUUGCCCAAGGACACUUUGACAUUUGGCCAAGGAGGGAAUCGAACCUGCAGUAUUCCUAUCAGGGGUUGAUUAAAGUGAAGUGGUUCUGGAUUUUGCUUCUCUUUCCAGUGUUACUCAUUUUCUGUAGGUUUUUAUGAUGAGGUUGUGUCUUCUUGUAGCACCUGUAGACUGCAGUCAAUGGUAGCACCUAGCUCUCUGUUACUCUGAGCUUUCUGUCAUGGUGCCUCUGUCAGUUCUCCUCCCCCUCCCCUCUCUGCUUGGCCACUGAUUCAUCCCACCUGCAUCCACUCAUCUCAUCAUGCCGCCAGACCUUCAUAAGGAGCUCCAGGACCAGUAUCCAUCGCCAGUUCGUUGCCCCUGAUGGAUCACCAAACCCAGCAGUGGACGCCAGAAUCUCCGACUACCCAAGCAGUACAUCACGGAACCAACCUACCUCACCACACCACGAAGCUUCGCCGAACCUCCAAUCAUGUCACAAGCCAUAGCUGAAUCUCAAGCCAAGUCACGAGCCGACACCGAAUCUCCAGCCACGUCACGAGCCAACGCCGAAUCUUCAACCUCGCCGCCUUUUGGUUACGCCUCAACCCUAACCACCUCGGAGAAAAUAAAAACUCCUUACGACUACUCA